AGCCCGGAAGUGCGCGUGGCGGCGGUGGCGGCUGCGGCAACAGCGGGGCCGGUAAGCGGGCGCGCGCCGCUCAGAGGGGCAGAGUUGGUGGCGUGAGUUGCUGCCCCUUCCUUCCUGCUGUGGGCCAGAGGCGCCACCGCGCCCGGUCCUCGAGGAAGACGGGAGCGGGACGUGGCGAGAGGCCUCCUCAGCAGUGGGCAAAAUAGCCCCGACGCGGAGGUCGUGUCCCCGCCACGUUUCCGGCGACCGCAGGCGCGGAUUCCUUGGCUUCCCUCAGCACUUUCCCCUCCGCGCGGACGGCCCCGAGACGCUUUUUCACUGGGCCUUGUCGCCAGCACCCGGCGUGGGGGGUGAGACGCGCCUUUUCAGGGCUGGGGUUCCCCAGAGCGUUUUCCUAAGUCGAGGCGGAGGUGCGAGGAAACUGAGUGGGUCUUUCCGCCCCACGUGGCCUGCCGGGAAGCGCGGCUCCUCCACCCGCUUCCGUGGAAUGGAAUGGUUUUUCUCUGCAGGUUUACACCGGGGUCACUCGAGAGCUGCUGCGGCCUCCUUAUGGGCAGGACCCCCGUAUGGGGAGAACGAGGAUGUGAUAUGUAGAAGGGAAGGCCGCGGUGUGCCAGAAAUCAGAGGAGAUUGCAAGAUGGCAGGAAAAGAAUCAGGAAAAUGGGGGCAGCAAAACUAAAUUCAUGGGAAAAUACAAUGUCUAGGAGCUAUCCCAGGGUCGUGAAUCCUCGAGUGCAGGUGGGGAAGUAGGGUGAUACCCACCUGUGACCAUGACAAGUUUUGGAGACCAGAAACUCGGUUAGAGUUUCUAGAACCCCGCAUCCCUCUCAUACUGCCUGAAGCCCUGCUCUGGGGAGAGUGUCAUCACAGUACCAUGUGGCAUGCGAGUGUCGUGGUAAUGCUCCCCGACCAAACCACCAAACCGAGGGUUGGGCUGCUUAUUCUCGCUGCCCAAUAAUGAGAUGCAGAUAAACUAGGAAAGAAAGGAGUUUAUUUCUGUAACCAGGUACGGGGCGAAGGCGUGGAAAAUAUCCCAGACCGACUCAGAAUUACAGAGCUUUCCAGAGCUUAUAUACCUUAUGUGUAGUUGGUGACUGCCUCUCCAGAUGCUGAGGUGCCUGUAUCAUUGGCACAGGCCAGUGCUGAACCGUAGGUGGAGUAGGCUGUGCCUUCCGAAGCAGUAUCUAUUCACAAUGAAGUUGCAGUCUCCCGAAUUCCAGUCACUUUUCACAGAAGGACUGAAGAGUCUGACAGAAUUAUUUGUCAAAGAGAAUCACGAAUUAAGAAUAGCAGGAGGAGCAGUGAGGGAUUUAUUAAAUGGAGUAAAGCCUCAGGAUAUAGAUUUUGCCACCACUGCUACCCCUACUCAAAUGAAGGAGAUGUUUCAGUCGGCUGGGAUUCGGAUGAUAAACAACAGAGGAGAAAAGCACGGAACAAUUACUGCCAGGCUUCAUGAAGAAAAUUUUGAGAUUACUACACUACGGAUUGAUGUCACCACUGAUGGAAGACAUGCUGAGGUAGAAUUUACAACUGACUGGCAGAAAGAUGCGGAACGCAGAGAUCUCACUAUAAAUUCUAUGUUUUUAGGUUUUGAUGGCACUUUAUUUGACUACUUUAAUGGUUAUGAAGAUUUAAAAAAUAAGAAAGUUAGAUUUGUUGGACAUGCUAAACAGAGAAUACAAGAGGAUUAUCUUAGAAUUUUAAGAUACUUCAGGUUUUAUGGGAGAAUUGUAGACAAACCUGGUGACCAUGAUCCUGAGACUUUGGAAGCAAUUGCAGAAAAUGCAAAAGGCUUGGCUGGAAUAUCAGGAGAAAGGAUUUGGGUGGAACUGAAAAAAAUUCUUGUUGGUAACCAUGUAAAUCAUUUGAUUCACCUUAUCUAUGAUCUUGAUGUGGCUCCUUAUAUAGGUUUACCUGCUAAUGCAAGUUUAGAAGAAUUUGACAAAGUCAGUAAAAAUGUUGAUGGUUUUUCACCAAAGCCAGUGACUCUUUUGGCCUCAUUAUUCAAAGUACAAGAUGAUGUCACAAAAUUGGAUUUGAGGUUGAAGAUCGCAAAAGAGGAGAAAAACCUUGGCUUAUUUAUAGUUAAAAAUAGGAAAGAUUUAAUUAAAGCAACAGAUAGUUCAGACCCAUUGAAACCCUAUCAAGACUUCAUUAUAGAUUCUAGGGAACCUGAUGCAACUACUCGUGUAUGUGAACUACUGAAGUACCAAGGAGAGCACUGUCUCCUAAAGGAAAUGCAGCAGUGGUCCAUUCCUCCAUUUCCUGUAAGUGGCCAUGACAUCAGAAAAGUGGGCAUUUCUUCAGGAAAAGAAAUUGGGGCUCUAUUACAACAGUUGCGAGAACAGUGGAAAAAAAGUGGUUACCAAAUGGAAAAAGAUGAACUUCUGAGUUACAUAAAGAAGACCUAAAACUGAUGGCUACUAAAAAGCAGAGCAUUUCUGGUAAGACUAAAUUUUCUCCCCUCCCUCUUAAUGAGGUUUUAGAGACUACACCAGAAUAAAAGACAGUUUAGGGGACCUCUGUAGAACAACAAGGGUCUUAUUUUGUGAAUUAUAUAUUUCAAGAACUAAACAGAGAUCCACCUUUCUGGAUCUGAUUUAUAUCACUGAAAUGUACAGUUCUUUUGGAAUAGUUUCACCUGAGAAAACAUAGUUGGCUAUUAUCUAUCUUAACCUGUUCAGGCUUUUAAAAAAAACUGUUUUUGCAUAGGGUAGUACUAAGAUCUUAAAAAGUGGUAACUGUCUUGAAGAAAAAACGUUUAUUGUUUGUUUGCAAUUGAAAUAACAGGGUUACCUUAACAAUGACUGUCUAUGAUGUGUCAGUUCUUAUCUGAAUUCCAAAAUAAACCUGUGCUUAAAAAAGAAAUAAUUGACCAAGUAAGUUUGCAUAAAAUGUGAAUACUAAAUGUGUCCCCAGUUGCUGGCAUUCAUAUGUACAGGAUUUGUUCUAGCAAGCUAUGCUUCAGUAUGUGGUUGAUAUUUUUCUGUCACAAUGAUUUCUUUAUGCAUGCAGAGCCUGGGGAAGUCAUGGGAUUAACUUGAGGGUCACUAUUGAGCCUAUUAAUUAAUUAUUGUUUUAAUAAAACAAACAUUGGUAUUGGAAGAUAAAUAUGUUUAUGUGGUAUCUGACAAUGUGUAUUAGGUGUCAUAUACAAUGGUAAUAUGCCUGUCUUUAAAGUGUUAUUUUAUUAAUUAAAAGGAUAUGGCUAUUAUUAUAUAUUCUCUAAAGAUUUGAGUCCUAAAUGCUUUCAUCAGGUAAAUAAAAUGUAUAAUACAAACUGUUUAUUUCAGCUGCUAUAAUUUCAGCUGCUAUACUGACAUUUCAUAAUUUAUUUCCUUUCUGUGUAGCCAGUCAUAACAUCUUUGUACUCUAUGAGCAAAUAGUAAUUUUGGACCUUGAUAAAACAAUUUUGUAGAGUGUAAUAUUUCUAAGAGGAAAUGUCACAGGGGCUAUGAUGCAAGAAAGCCUCAGAAAUGACUGCAUACAGGAAAUAAUCUCAUCAUUUCCAAAGAUGUCUUCAUGUCCCAUCAAUGACAUGCUACCAGACAUAUCAGAUUCCACAGGAUAAUGGCACCAAGCUACCCAAGUAGAUGUUUCUGGUAUUCUAGACUGCCGUUCAUGCUUGUUUCCUAAAGUAUACUUAAAAGUUUCAAAUACAGUUUCACUUAGAAACUGCAACCCUCCAAGUAAUGUUAUGUUUACUUAGGUAUUAAUGUUAUGUUUACUUAGGUAUGUAUCAGAGGCAAUAAUUUCCAAAGCAGAUCUUAGAAUAUAACCAAUUUGUUAGAUAACUUUAUCUCUAUCACAUCUGUUUACAAGCAAAGUAUUACUUUGUCUGGACUUAUUUCAUCUUCAGUGUCUGGGAUCGUGGGCAACAGAGCAGAUCGCGUUAAGCCCCAAAAUUUUUGAGGUGACAUGUCUUUUUUGGUGGCCGUAAACUUCCAUCCAAUAUGGCUUGCACAGAUCUUACACUGGGCAACAGUCCAGGCAUACCUAAGAAAUUAAGGAAAGAUAUCAGCUAAGGAAACAUUUCUGUACUCCAAGCCUAUCAUAUAAACCUAUCAUGAAGACAGACUUUAGAGGCAAAUUCUAAGGAUUAGAGAUUCUAAGUUGAGAUUUGAUCCAUACAGUUCCCUGAAACCUAAAAACAUUUCUAAAAACAUUUUCUAAUUUUGUAAUAUGUAUGACUUUUAUGCUCUUAAGCCAUGUUUACAUUUUUCUUCUACUGCAUAGAAAUAAAGAGUAAUCUUAAGAAUUUCUUUAUAGAAAUUGCUGGUUGCCAAGACCACAUUCUAACUUGUACUGGCACCACAUUCUAACUUGUACUGGCUUUUCCUUUGUUGUAUUGCAGUCAAGUUAGAAAACAGCAAUUACCUGCAGAAAUAAUGCACUUCUGUCUGAGUUAAACUGGAUGGGCCAGGAAGGACACGUCUCAAAAAGUAAAUAUUUAUAUUCUAAAAUAAGAACGAUUGUCAGAUAAUGCAACCAGAAAUACAAACCAUGGUAUUUUGUUCUUAAGAUAAACCAUGUAAUUGCAACUGUUUCCUUAUUUUUUUCCCUAGGUAUACCAUGCCACAUUUAUUUAUAGUAACAAAUGUAUUCUAGUUUUAGUCCUCACAUAGGGUGCCAAGUAAGAUAGGGCAAUCCAAGAUACAUAGUCCUAACCCCAGAGUAGCAUGUAAUCCCUUCUUAGCAUCCCUCUUUGAAAACUGAAGAUAGUACAGCUGAGGGAACUGAACAGGUUCCCAGGAUCAUAGAGAAUCAUUAAGCUGAAGCAAACAAACAAAAGGCAAACUAGAAGAAAAGCAGGAUUCAAUGGGUUCUGCACCUUCUUAGUCUAUCAUUGCUUUGUAAACAUUCUCCGGUUUUACAUUACUACAGAAUAUGGUCCAGAUAUAAAGUUCUACUGGGUCAUAAGACAGCUGAUUUUCAGAAUUACAUGACUGACAGAAAAAAACAAUUUUGGAUUUAACUGGAUACAGUAAUCUGAGGACAACUGCAGUUGUCAACCUUUUCUUCCUUUCAUUCAAUGAUAAAAGAUACAAAAAGUGCAACAGAUGUUUCUAGCUAUUUGUGGAAUGAAGGACAUUUAAAUAAAUUUUUUUUUUUUUUUAAAUAGACAGAUUCUCACUCUGUCACCCAGGCUGGACUGCAGUGGCACAAUCUUGGCUCACUGCAACACUCUUGCCUUCCAGGUUCAAGAGAUUCUUGUGCCUCAGCAUCCCGAGCAGCUGGGAGUACAGACCCCUGCCCCCAUACCCGGCUAAUUUUUGUAGCAAAUUACUCAUUUGUCUGUCUACUUUUUAUUAUAAAGAUUGUGGCAACUCUGCUUAGGACUCUGGAUUUUUCUGCCCAAUUAAGGUAAAAAAAGAAAAAAAAAAGCAACCACCACCAUAAUAUUACCCAGGAAACCAGCUGUGUUCUGUAGAAGGCCGGCCUAUCAGAUUCAAGUUGCAAGCCUUAUACACAGUAAGUGUCUCAUGCACAUAUCCAUGAGGAUUCACAUAAGCUGCCAUCGGCCCACAUAAGGAUAAACUAAAACAAAGAAUCAACAUGGAGAACACGUCAAAACGAGAAGUCUAAUUUUAUUAAAUGCUUAGAAUUUUAUUGAAGUUCACCAAGAAAUGAGGUAUGAGCUAUACAGUUUUUAAUCCUUCAGUUUUAUAUAAUACCAGGAUCUUAGUAUGAAAAUGGGGUGGGGGUACAGCUGGCAGACAGGCCUGUUUUGUCUAAAUGUCUAAAUGUUUUCUGUGAUGACCCAAAGGAAAUAGUACUUGUUUUUAAAACCCUCCUCAAGACAGACAUUGUAAAGAAUAUAAAACUCAAAUGCUUCUAAAGGAGUCUGAGAGUGUAAGUGCAAUGACAAGGUCCUGUGUGGUCAUUUUGGGGCAGUUGAUUAUUUUGCAGAAAGCAGUUUCCUUACCUUCUUGAUUUACAACUGAUGGAUUUGUCAUAAAAUGAUUUUCAAACACUGUUAUAUCAGAGCAUCAGUAUGUGUUCAGAAGCAUGUCCUACUUUGGCCCUAUAUGGCAAAACUGAUGACUGAAAUGUAAUUUCUGAAGCAUCUAUGUUAGGGCCUAAUUGAAGACAGUCUAAUAUAUAGAUUGUCAACAAGAAUUAGGGGGAAAAGAAUUUCUCAGUUGUUUUACUUUACCAUGCUCAUUACCUGUGAAUAAUCCCUGACAUGCAUUGUUGCUCUGAGUACCCAAUCUGGAAGAUGGUCUUAGCAAAAGUGAGCUAAUUCCCUAUAUUUCAUUUGCUAAAUGUUUGUAACUUUAAGGUACUGGAGGAAAGUUUAUGGAAAACAGAAAUACAGUCUUCAUUAUAAUUCUGAUAAGGCAAGUAUAUUAAAAACGUAAUAAAGACCUUACCUGAAUAUUUCA